rnacentral:rRNA from 1 species
GUGGGGAAUCUUGCGCAAUGGGCGAAAGCCUGACGCAGCCAUGCCUCGUGAAUGAUGAAGGUCUUAGGAUUGUAAAAUUCUUUCACCGGGGACGAUAAUGACGGUACCCGGAGAAGAAGCUCCGGCUAACUUCGUGCCAGCAGCCGCGGUAAUACGAAGGGGGCUAGCGUUGCUCGGAAUUACUGGGCGUAAAGGGCGCGUAGGCGGACAGCUUAGUCAGAGGUGAAAGCCCAGGGCUCAACCUUGGAAUUGCCUUUGAUACUGGCUGUCUUGAGUUUGGGAGAGGUGAGUGGAACUCCGAGUGUAGAGGUGAAAUUCGUAGAUAUUCGGAAGAACACCAGUGGCGAAGGCGACUCACUGGCCCAAUACUGACGCUGAGGCGCGAAAGCGUGGGGAGCAAACAGGAUUAGAUACCCCAGUAGUCC